rnacentral:rRNA from 1 species
UACGAAGGGGGCUAGCGUUGCUCGGAAUCACUGGGCGUAAAGCGCACGUAGGCGGACUCUUAAGUCAGGGGUGAAAUCCUGGAGCUCAACUCCAGAACUGCCUUUGAUACUGAAGAUCUUGAGUUCGGGAGAGGUGAGUGGAACUGGCGAGUGUAGAGGUGAAAUUCGUAGAUAUUCGCAAGAACACCAGUGGCGAAGGCGGCUCACUGGCCCGAUACUGACGCUGAGGCACGAAAGCGUGGGGAGCAAACAGG